UACGUAGGGGGGCAAGCGUUGUCCGGAAUCAUUGGGCGUAAAGCGCGUGUAGGCGGCUCGGUAAGUCCGCUCUGAAAGUCCAGGGCUCAACCCUGGGAUGCGGGUGGAUACUGCAGGGCUGGAGUCCGGAAGAGGCGAGUGGAAUUCCUGGUGUAGCGGUGGGAUGCGCAGAUAUCAGGAGGAACACCAAUAGCGAAGGCAGCUCGCUGGGACGGUACUGACACUGAGGCGCGAAAGCGUGGGGAGCGAACAGG
rnacentral:rRNA from 1 species